rnacentral:lncRNA from 15 species
AUACAGCAUGAGUGUGUUACAGUAGGUAAACGUUAUAGUAUGUGUUCUUUAUGGUUGUAAUAUUUUCAUCUUGUCUCUAAUUGAUGUCAGGGCCUGUGGGGAUACAGGGGAGAACGAGGGUCCAAAGGGGAGAAAGGUGAUGAGGGUCUCAUUGGCCUCAAGGGUCCAAGAGGGGAAAUUGGCGACCCUGGGCUCAACUGGUGCACCUGGCAGACCUGGUCUUGUCGGACCACCAGUGAGUGUCUUCUACCCUCCUUGUUUAGUUCUUUUAUGAGUGCAACAAACCAGGAAUUUCUGCA